GAGUUUGAUCCUGGCUCAGAUUGAACGCUGGCGGCAGGCCUAACACAUGCAAGUCGAGCGGUAACAGAUUGAUAGCUUGCUAUCACAGGCGUCGAGUGGCGGACGGGUGAGUAAUGCCUGGGAAUAUGCCUUAGUGUGGGGGAUAACUAUUGGAAACGAUAGCUAAUACCGCAUAACGUCUUCGGACCAAAGAGGGGGACCUUCGGGCCUCUCGCGCUAAGAUUAGCCCAGGUGGGAUUAGCUAGUUGGUGAGGUAAAGGCUCACCAAGGCAACGAUCCCUAGCUGGUCUGAGAGGAUGAUCAGCCACACUGGAACUGAGACACGGUCCAGACUCCUACGGGAGGCAGCAGUGGGGAAUAUUGCACAAUGGGGGAAACCCUGAUGCAGCCAUGCCGCGUGUAUGAAGAAGGCCUUCGGGUUGUAAAGUACUUUCAGUCGUGAGGAAGAUUAUACAGUUAAUACCCAUUAUGUGUGACGUUAGCAACAGAAGAAGGACCGGCUAACUCCGUGCCAGCAGCCGUGGUAAUACGGAGGGUCCGAGCGUUAAUCGGAAUUACUGGGCGUAAAGCGCACGCAGGCGGUUUGUUAAGCUAGAUGUGAAAGCCCCGGGCUCAACCUGGGAAUAGCAUUUAGAACUGGCAGGCUAGAGUCUUGGAGGCAGGCUAGAGUCUUGGAGAGGGGAGUGGAAUUUCUGGUGUAGCGGUGAAAUGCGUAGAUAUCAGAAGGAACAUCAGUGGCGAAGGCGACUCCCUGGCCAAAGACUGACGCUCAUGUGCGAAAGUGUGGGUAGCGAACAGGAUUAGAUACCCUGGUAGUCCACACUGUAAACGAUGUCUACUAGCUGUUUGUGGAUUUAAUCCUUUAGUGGCGCAGCUAACGCAUAAAGUAGACCGCCUGGGGAGUACGGUCGCAAGAUUAAAACUCAAAUGAAUUGACGGGGGCCCGCACAAGCGGUGGAGCAUGUGGUUUAAUUCGACGCAACGCGAAGAACCUUACCAACUCUUGACAUCCAGAGAAUUCGCUAGAGAUAGCUUAGUGCCUUCGGGAACUCUGAGACAGGUGCUGCAUGGCUGUCGUCAGCUCGUGUUGUGAAAUGUUGGGUUAAGUCCCGUAACGAGCGCAACCCUUAUCCUUAUUUGCCAGCGGGUUAUGCCGGGAACUCUAAGGAGACUGCCGGUGACAAACCGGAGGAAGGUGGGGACGACGUCAAGUCAUCAUGGCCCUUACGAGUUGGGCUACACACGUGCUACAAUGGCCAGUACAGAGGGCUGCAAACCUGCGAAGGUAAGCUAAUCUCAGAAAGCCGGUCGUAGUCCGGAUUGGAGUCUGCAACUCGACUCCAUGAAGUCGGAAUCGCUAGUAAUCGCGAAUCAGAAUGUCGCGGUGAAUACGUUCCCGGGCCUUGUACACACCGCCCGUCACACCAUGGGAGUGGGUUGCAAAAGAAGUGGGUAGUCUAACCUUCGGGAGGGCGCUCACCACUUUGUGAUUCAUGACUGGGGUGAAGUCGUAACAAGGUAGCCCUAGGGGAACCUGCGGCUGGAUCACCUCCUUA
rnacentral:rRNA from 1 species